UGGGUUGUGGCUCAAUGGUGGAGCGCUUGCCUAGCAUGUGUGAGGCACUGGGUUCAUCCUCAGCACCCCAU
rnacentral:tRNA from 1 species